rnacentral:rRNA from 1 species
CUCUACAGCCAUACCACCCUGAAUGCACCUGAUCUCCUCUGAUUUUAGAAGCGAAGCAGGGUUGGGCUGGCUAGAUGGGAGACCACGUGAGAAUACUGGGUGCUGUAGGCU